rnacentral:misc_RNA from 1 species
GAUGAAGAACGUAGCGAAAUGCGAUACGUAAUGUGAAUUGCAGAAUUCAGUGAGUCAUCGAGUCUUUGAACGCACAUUGCGCCCCCUGGUAUUCCGGGGGGCAUGCCUGUCCGAGCGUCAUUGCUGCCCUCAAGCACGGCUUGUGUGUUGGGCCUCCGUCCUCCUCCCGGGGGACGGGCCCGAAAGGCAGCGGCGGCACCGCGUCCGGUCCUCGAGCGUAUGGGGCUUCGUCACCCGCUCUUGUAGGCCCGGCCGGCGCUUGCCGACACAUCAAUCUUUUUUCCAGGUUGACCUCGGAUCAGGUAGGGAUACCCGCUGAACUUAAGCAUAUCAAUAAGCGGAGGA